rnacentral:rRNA from 1 species
CCUACGGGAGGCAGCAGUGAGGAAUAUUGGUCAAUGGUCGGGAGACUGAACCAGCCAAGCCGCGUGAGGGAUGAAGGUACAGAGUAUCGUAAACCUCUUUUGUCAGGGAACAAAGGCGGGGACGUGUCCCCGGAUGAGUGUACCUGAAGAAAAAGCAUCGGCUAACUCCGUGCCAGCAGCCGCGGUAAUACGGAGGAUGCGAGCGUUAUCCGGAUUUAUUGGGUUUAAAGGGUGCGCAGGCGGUCUGUUAAGUCAGCGGUCAAAGCCCGGGGCUCAACCCCGGCCCGCCGUUGAAACUGGCAGUCUCGAGUUGGAGAGAAGUAUGCGGAAUGCGCGGUGUAGCGGUGAAAUGCAUAGAUAUCGCGCAGAACUCCGAUUGCGAAGGCAGCAUGCCGGCUCCACACUGACGCUGAGGCACGAAAGCGUGGGUAUCGAACAGGAUUAGAUACCCUUGUAGUC